rnacentral:misc_RNA from 1 species
GAAAUGCGAUAAGUAAUGUGAAUUGCAGAAUUCAGUGAAUCAUCGAAUCUUUGAACGCACCUUGCGCUCCUUGGUAUUCCUUGGAGCAUGCCUGUUUGAGUAUCAUGAAAUCUUCAAAGUAAAUCUUUUGUUAACUCAAUUGGUUUCUACUUUGGUAUUGGAGGUCUUUGCAGCUUCACACCUGCUCCUCUUUGUUCAUUAGCUGGAUCUCAGUGUUAUGCUUGGUUCCACUCUGCGUGAUAAGUUAUCUAUCGCUGAGGACACUGUAAAAGGUGGCCAAGGUAAAUGCAGAUGAACCGCUUCUAAUAGUCCAUUGACUUGGACAAUACUUUUAUGAUCUGAUCUCAAAUCAGGUAGGACUACCCUCUGAACUUAAGC